AACCAACAGGGAUUACCUCAGUAACGGCGAGUGAAGCGGUAACAGCUCAAAUUUGAAAUCUGCCUACAGGCCGAGUUGUAAUUUGUAGAAGAUGCUUCGGGUGUGGCUCCGGUCUAAGUUCCUUGGAACAGGACGUCAUAGAGGGUGAGAAUCCCGUAUGUGACUGGGUGCCUAUGCCUAUGUGAAGCUCUUUCGACGAGUCGAGUUGUUUGGGAAUGCAGCUCAAAAUGGGUGGUAUAUUUCAUCUAAAGCUAAAUAUUGGCUAGAGACCGAUAGCGCACAAGUAGAGUGAUCGAAAGAUGAAAAGCACUUUGGAAAGAGAGUUAAACAGUACGUGAAAUUGUUGAAAGGGAAGCGCUUGCAACCAGACUUGCACUUUACUGAUCAUCCGGCGUUUUCACCGGUGCACUCAGUCUUGUUCAGGCCAGCAUCGGUUUUGGUGGUUGGAUAAAGGCCUUAGGAAUGUAGCUUCCUCGGGAGUGUUAUAGCCUAAGGUGCAAUGCAGCCUACCGGGACCGAGGACCGCGCUUCGGCUAGGAUGCUGGCGUAAUGGUUGUAAGCGACCCGUCUUGAAACACGGACCAAGGAGUCUAACAUCUAUGCGAGUAUUUGGGUGUCAAACCCAUAUGCGUAAUGAAAGUGAACGGAGGUGAGAGCUUCGGCGCAUCAUCGACCGAUCCUGAUGUCUUCGGAUGGAUUUGAGUAAGAGCAUAGCUGUUGGGACCCGAAAGAUGGUGAACUAUGCCUAAAUAGGGUGAAGCCAGAGGAAACUCUGGUGGAGGCUCGCAGCGGUUCUGACGUGCAAAUCGAUCGUCAAAUUUGGGUAUAGGGGCGAAAGACUAAUCGAACCAUUGUAAAUAUACACUGCAGGAACAGUGCUAGGUGGUUGAGAGAUCACUGAGAGGUAAAUCUAGUC
rnacentral:rRNA from 1 species